rnacentral:lncRNA from 1 species
GGUUUGGAUGUUCGGGACUGAGAAUGGAGACGUGGAAGAGUCACGUGCGCGCCGGACUGUUCAAUAGAGACCGGCUCCAGAAAGACCCUUUUGCUGGAGUUUUCUCCACUUUGUCAAAGUUAGAAGGGAGACUUGAGUUGCGCGACAAACUACUAGAAAACCCUCCAAUCAGCGGUUGGAGUGGACCUGAAGACGAGAAGCCGAUCAGGCUUCAACUGCGCCUGAAGGAGUGUGAGCUGGACCGAUUUGAGCUGUCGGAGAGGGUGUCAGACCUCACAGCCACCCUGUACCUCAAAGAGGCGGAGCUGCAGUACUGCCACUCACAAGUGGUGCGGUUCCGGGGCGAAGCAGUGGCUCUCGCUCGGGAAGCUUCCAGUUUGCGGUCAGGCCUGGCGGAGUAUGAGUAUGCCCUUGAGCUCCAGUCGAAACAGUUUGCUGGGCUACAGAUCGAGAUGUCCACCCUUAGGGCAGAGUUGUCUGUGGCUUGGGUGGAGAAGGAGGAUUUGCUGGAGCGCUGGAUGGAGGAGAAGAGGCUGGAGGCAGAGCGUGUGAACAAGCACAAUGCUGCUCAGGAGAGAUGGCAUCGUUUUGCUGGUUGCCUGAACAGUCAUAAGCAUAGAGAAGCACCCAGAAUAUGUGGGCAGACAGAGGGAGACAAAUGACAGUGGUCCACAGGCCUGCCUAUUGGCUACCUGAGUGCUUUAAGCACAUCCCAUGACAGAUUGUAAUAUUGCUGCUCAGCUGGAUGAACGAGUCUUUCCACAACUGGGAUUGGUUGAAUCCUAAAUUGUUUGAUCCUAUGUUUUUCUAAUAAAGGCAUACUGUGGCUGACA